rnacentral:rRNA from 1 species
CUACGGGCGGCUCCAGUGGGGAAUAUUGCACAAUGGGCGCAAGCCUGAUGCAGCCAUGCCGCGUGUAUGAAGAAGGCCUUCGGGUUGUAAAGUACUUUCAGCGGGGAGGAAGGGAGUAAAGUUAAUACCUUUGCUCAUUGACGUUACCCGCAGAAGAAGCACCGGCUAACUCCGUGCCAGCAGCCGCGGUAAUACGGAGGGUGCAAGCGGUAAGCGGAAUUACUGGGCGUAGAGCGCACGCAGGCGGUUUGUUAAGUCAGAUGUGAAAUCCCCGGGCUCAACCGGGGAACUGCAUCUGAUACUGGCAAGCUUGAGUCUCGUAGAGGGGGGUAGAAUUCCAGGUGUAGCGGUGACAUGCGUAGAGAUCUGGAGGAAUACCGGUGGCGAAGGCGGCCCCCUGGACGAAGACUGACGCUCAGGUGCGAAAGCGUGGGGAGCAAACAGGAUUAGAUACCCCCGUAGUC